UAAUUUCACUAGGGGAGUUUAACGGCUGAGAUGGGGCGCAUAGAUGCUCCGGACCCUUGGAACCUGAUCUGGAUCAUUCCAGCGGAGGGAAGUGGAGCAGAAGCUUU
rnacentral:ncRNA from 2 species